AUUGAACGCUGGCGGCAGGCUUAACACAUGCAAGUCGAGCGGGGAAAGGUAGCUUGCUACCUGACCUAGCGGCGGACGGGUGAGUAAUGCUUAGGAAUCUGCCUAUUAGUGGGGGACAACAUCUCGAGAGGGAUGCUAAUACCGCAUACGUCCUACGGGAGAAAGCAGGGGACCUUCGGGCCUUGCGCUAAUAGAUGAGCCUAAGUCGGAUUAGCUAGUUGGUGGGGUAAAGGCCUACCAAGGCGACGAUCUGUAGCGGGUCUGAGAGGAUGAUCCGCCACACUGGGACUGAGACACGGCCCAGACUCCUACGGGAGGCAGCAGUGGGGAAUAUUGGACAAUGGGGGGAACCCUGAUCCAGCCAUGCCGCGUGUGUGAAGAAGGCCUUUUGGUUGUAAAGCACUUUAAGCGAGGAGGAGGCUACCGAGAUUAAUACUCUUGGAUAGUGGACGUUACUCGCAGAAUAAGCACCGGCUAACUCUGUG
rnacentral:rRNA from 1 species